UUCAUAACAAAAAAAGUCUAUUUAUGUUACAUUUAGUCAAAAAAUGGUGUCUAGUAACUUUUACUUUUGAUGGCAUGAUAGGAGAAGUGUAGAAAAAAUGCUGUGAAUCGAUCGAAGCAGUUAUACACUCAUACUGGCGGAUCAAAAAGCUUGGCAAGGUUCGAAGAAGAAGAGUCGGAACGACAAGGGAGUAGAAUUGGUG